GAUGAACGCUGGCGGCGUGCCUAAUACAUGCAAGUCGAGCGAACAGACGAGGAGCUUGCUCCUCUGACGUUAGCGGCGGACGGGUGAGUAACACGUGGAUAACCUACCUAUAAGACUGGGAUAACUUCGGGAAACCGGAGCUAAUACCGGAUAAUAUAUUGAACCGCAUGGUUCAAUAGUGAAAGACGGUUUUGCUGUCACUUAUAGAUGGAUCCGCGCCGCAUUAGCUAGUUGGUGGGGUAAUGGAGUACCAAGGCAACGAUGGGUAGCCGGCCUGAGAGGGCGACCGGCCACACUGGGAAUGAGAAACGGCCCAGACUCCUACGGGAGGCAGCAGUGGGGAAUAUUGCACACUGGGCGGAAGCCUGAUGAAGCGAAGCCGCGUGAGGGAUGACGGCAUUCGGGUUGUAAACAUCUUUCAGCAGGGACGAAGCGUAAGUGACGGUACCUGCAGAAGAAGCGCCGGCCAACUACGUG
rnacentral:rRNA from 1 species